rnacentral:rRNA from 1 species
GACGAACGCUGGCGGCGUGCUUAACACAUGCAAGUCGAACGGUGACGAGGAGCUUGCUCCUCUGAUCAGUGGCGAACGGGUGAGUAACACGUGAGCAACCUGCCCCAGACUCUGGGAUAACAGUUGGAAACAGCUGCUAAUACCGGAUACGAGACGGAGAGGCAUCUCUACCGUCUGGAAAGUUUUUCGGUCUGGGAUGGACUCGCGGCCUAUCAGCUAGUUGGUGAGGUAAUGGCCUACCAAGGCUACGAUGGUUAGCUGGUCUGAGAGGAUGGCCAGCCACACUGGAACUGAGACACGGUCCAGACUCCUACGGGAGGCAGCAGUGAGGAAUCUUGCGCAAUGGGGGAAACCCUGACGCAGCAACGCCGCGUGAGUGAGGAAGGCCUUCGGUCGUAAAGACUCUGUCAGAUGGGAAGGAAAUAGGAUGGGGGCGUAAUAUCGCCCAUCCUUGACGGUACCAUCAGAGGAAGACACCGGCUAACC